UACGGAGGGAUCUAGCGUUAUUCGGAAUAACUGGGCGUAAAGCGAGCGUAGGCGGAUUUGUAAGUUGGAGGUGAAAUCCCAGGGCUUAACCCUGGAACUGCCUUCAAAACUACAUUUCUUGAGUUUGGUAGAGGAGAGUGGAAUUCCUAGUGUAGAGGUGAAAUUCGUAGAUAUUAGGAGGAACACCAGUGGCGAAGGCGACUCUCUGGGCCAAUACUGACGCUGAGGUUCGAAAGCGUGGGGAGCGAACGGG
rnacentral:rRNA from 1 species